rnacentral:lncRNA from 1 species
UUAACAAUAUUAUACAUGUAUAUAUAAUCCAUGUGUAAAAUAUUCAUGUAAGCAUAGUUUAAGCGUUGCAUUUGAUAAUCAUUAGUUAUUUUAAUGUUUUGUCAUUUAGUCUGAAUCUCUCUGGUCUGAACACUUUGACAGCAAUUCUAAAUAGUCUUUCGCCCGGAGCUAAUGUUGCAGAUAUUGCUUGAUCAGAACAUGGAAGUUCCAUGAUCAGAAGAUCAUCAUAUUGAUAGGAAAGUGAAUUUGUUCCUAUUUACUUGCCAAUACAUCAAGGUGUAUUUUGACAUCUCAGAAAUGAAGUUAUUUGAAUUAAACAUAAUUAAAUAAAGA